GACGAACGCUGGCGGCGUGCUUAACACAUGCAAGUAGAACGGAGUGGCGAACGGGUGAGUAACACGUGGGUGAUCUGCCUUGCACUUCGGGAUAAGCUUGGGAAACUGGGGCUAAUACCGGAUAGUGCAAGAUGAGCACGCGGCCUAUCAGCUUGUUGGUGGGGUAAUGGCCUACCAGGGCGUCGACGGGUAGCCGGCCUGGGAGGGUGUACGGCCACAUUGGGACUGGGAAACGGUCCGGAAUCCUUCGGGAGGCAGUAAUGGGGGAUUGUGCAAGAUGGGCGGAAGGCUGAUGCAGGGACGCCGCGUGGGGGAUGAAGGCUGUCGGGUUGUAAACUCCUUACGACAGGGACGCGGUAACUAUAUAAGAAGGACCGGCUAACUACGUGCCAGCAGCCGCGGUAAUAC
rnacentral:rRNA from 1 species